AAUCUCACUUGAAACCCUUACCUAGCUUCACAAAAAAUUUACCUAGCAACUUGAACAUCUUCUAGGCAGCCAAAAGAGGAAGGAAAGAGCAAGUUUAGUUGGCUUGAAAUUCUGCUCCAACAAGAUUAGUGUCCAACUCUUACUCCUUUUGUUUUAAUUCAUGUUCAAUGGCAUGAAUUGUGUAGGAAAUAUAAGGAAAUAAAGCAAACAAGUGUGUGUGUGCAACUUACAAUUUAGCUAGGGUUAGCUAGGGUUUGAUGAUUUUGCUUGGU
rnacentral:misc_RNA from 1 species